rnacentral:piRNA from 1 species
UACCCAGACGAGGACUUCGUGACAAGG